AGCCACCCAAGCAGACGGAUCACACGGAGCAGCGGCCCCGGCCACGCCAGAUCUGCAGCCGAGAUGAUCCAGACUUUGUAUGAUUACUUCUGGUGGGAACGCCUGUGGCUGCCUGUGAACUUGACCUGGGCCGAUCUAGAAGACCGAGAUGGACGUGUCUACGCCAAAGCCUCAGAUCUCUAUAUCACGCUGCCCCUGGCCUUGCUCUUCCUCAUCGUUCGAUACUUCUUUGAGCUAGCUGUACGUGGCUACACCACUGGCUGCUCUGUUGAACAUAAAGGAGAAAACCCGACUGCGGGCACCUCCCAAUGCCACCUUGGAACAUUUCUACCUGACCAGUGGCAAGCAGCCCAAGCAGGUGGAGGUAGAGCUUUUGUCCCGGCAGAGCGGGCUCUCCGGCCGCCAGGUAGAGUGUUGGUUCCACCGCCGCCGCAACCAGGACCGGCCCAGUCUCCUCAAGAAGUUCAGAGAAGCCAGCUGGAGAUUCACAUUUUACCUGAUUGCCUUCAUUGCCGGCAUGGGCGCCAUUGUGGAUAAACCCUGGUUCUAUGACAUGAAGAAAGUUUGGGAGGGAUAUCCCAUACAGAGCACUAUCCCUUCCCAGUAUUGGUACUACAUGAUUGAACUUUCCUUCUACUGGUCCCUGCUCUUCAUCAUUGCCUCUGAUGUCAAGCGAAAGGAUUUCAAGGAAUGGAUCAUCCACCAUGUGGCCACUAUCAUCCUCAUCAGCUUUUCCUGGUUUGCCAGUUACAUCCGAGCUGGGACUCUCAUCAUGGCUCUGCAUGACUCUUCUGAUUACCUGCUGGAGUUAGCCAAGAUGUUUAACUACGCGGGAUGGAAGAACACCUGCAACAACAUCUUCAUCAUCUUCGCCAUUGUUUUCAUCAUCACCCCACUGGUCAUCCUGCCCUCCUGGAUCCUGCAUUGCUCCCUGGUGUACCCACUGGAGCUCUAUCCUGCCUUCUUUGGCUAUUACUUCUUCAAUUCCAUGAUGGGAGUUCUACAGCUGCUGCAUAUCUUCUGGGCCUACCUCAUUUUGUGCAUGGCCCACAAGUUCAUAACUGGAAAGCUGGUACAAGAUGAACGCAGUGACCAGGAAGAAACAGAGAACUCAGAGGGGGAGGAGGCUGCAGCUGGGGGAGGAGCAAAGAGCCGGCCCCUAGCUAAUGGCCACCCCAUCCUCAAUAACCAUCAUGGUAAGAAUGACUGAACCAUUAUUCCAGUUGCCUCCCAGAUUAAUGCAUAAAGCCAAGGAACUACCCCCCUCCCCGCGCUAUAGGGUCACUUUAAGCUCUGGGGAAAAAGGAGAAAGUGAGAGGAGAGUUCUCUGCAUCCUCCCUCCUUGCUUUUCACCCAGUUGCCUUUAAACCAAAUUCUAACCAGCUCAUCCCCAGGUAGAGGGAUGUUGGUUAUAUUCUGUUAGAGGGGGAUGGUUGUAUUUUCCUCCCUAUCAUCCAAGUCAUCCUUUCUACUGCUUUUGAGGCCCUCCCUCAGCUCUCUGUGGGUAGGGGUUACAACUCACAUUCCUUAUUCUGAGAAUUUGGCCCUAGCUGUUUGCCUUUGACUCCCUGACCUCCAGAGUCAGGGUUGCACCUUAUUGUCCCAUCUGUGGGCCUCAUUCUGCCAAAGCUGGAUCAAGGCUCACCUUUCUAAGCUCCCUAACUUGGGCCAGAAACCAAAGCUGAGCUGACUUUUAAUUUUUCCCUCUAUGACACAAACGAAUUGAGGGUAGGAGGGUGCACAUAACCCUUACCCUACUUCUGCCAAAAAGUGGGAGCUGUACUGGGGACUGCUCCGAUGAUCUUUCUUUGUGCUACUUCUUUCAGCUGUCCCUGUAGCCACAGGUCUAAGAUCUGACUGCCUCCUCCUUUCUCUGGCCUCUUCCCUUUCCCUCUUCUCUUCAGCUAGGCUAGAUGGUUUGGAGUAGAAUGGCAACUAAUUCUAAUUU